GAGGACAGGAGGAAACGACGAGGAGGAAGUGACUCAGAGCAACUCAACGACUCGGCGAGUCAUGGUGUCCGGUCCUCUCUGGGGCGCAACCUACACCAUCACCCUCGAGUGUGACUACCAGAGCCUAAGCUUGAAUUGUGGAGAGUCUACGCUUGAUGCCAAGGUCGUGGGAUGCAACGUCACUGAAGCGACUUGCAGAAUUCAAAAUCAAGUGGUGUUCCGAAGCCCCCUGAGCUGCAGGCGGUGGUGGUGGGCGAGGGCGAGGUGCAGCUGUCGUGGGCCAUGGAGAAGGCGGGUUGGGUCACGCCCACUUCCUCGCUGGAGAUUACCGACACCGAGGGCAAGUUGGUGGACCAGAAAACCCUCUCCAACAAGAACAACAGCGUGCGCGUGACAGGGGUGACCGGAGGCAGCAACUACACCGUCACGUUCAUCCCUGAAGCGGAUUCUGAAAACCUGCCUCGGUUCUAUUUCAGUCUACACAUCAUUGCUUGGAGUGACGUGCAGACCUCGGAGCGCAAGGUGGGCUACGGCGCCUUCGUGACUGACGUGGACCUGAGCGCCACCAUCAUCUGGAACGGCACCUUGAGGGUCAGAUGGCUGCCAGCCACGGUCCUGGGCGUCACCUGGGAGGAGGACGCUACCACCGUGGCCCCGACCACAACCACCACCGCCAUGGCCCCGACCACAACCACGACCACCAUGGCCCCGACGACAACCACGACGGCAGUGACAACCACGACCACCGUUACAACCACGACCUCGUCACCCACAAGCACUACCACCAUCACGAGUCAAUCACCAAAUACGACCGCCAAUGUAAGCACAUCGACCUCGCCGGCAACGUCCACAACUACAGCCUCCCCGACCACGACCACAGCUCCCCCGACCACAACUACAGCCGCCCCGACCACGACCACAACCACCCCAGACACGACCACAGCUUCCCCCAGCACGACAACAACCAAGACAACCCCAAAAGAAGCAGCAACGUCCUUGCAGCAGAACACGGCGCAGGCCUUCAUGUACACCGUCACCCUUUCGUCAGAUGCAGGGGAGGUGGAGCAGAACGUGAGCAUGACGAACAGCCCGUCCAUGCGCUACGACUUCUGGUACAUGAGCAUGGAAAAGCAGUACAGCGUGUCCCUUGUGUGUCACUUCGGCGGGGUGUCCGUCCAGUGCGGGUCUUAUGUGCUCUAUGUUGACAAGCCCCUUCAGUGGUCGGACGUCAACGACCGCUUUGUCGUCUACGCGGAAGGGCGCGGCCUUGGCGGCUGGGAGCACCAAGAGAUGGGCUGCAGGAAGGGCGAGGGGACGCUCGUGUCCUUGGCCACGUACGAGGAGGACGAGAGGCUCUUGGCGGCGCUCAUCAGCAAGGGCGUGCCGCCGGCGCUCGACGCCUACUGGCUGGGACUCAACAUGUGCCCCGACUAUGAUGGCGAGGUGUGGAGUGACGGCUCGCUAUGGCAGCACUCGAGGCUGCCCAACGUGCGGCCCAUGCUGUCCAGCGAGACGUGCUGCAUCAAGGCCGUGUGGAUGCCCCAGCAGCGGAAUUACAACUGGCUUGGGGAGGACUGCGAGGCGCUCUUCCCGACCGUGUGUGAAUUCCAUCCGCAAGGUCUGUUGGGCACGAUCGCCGACCUGGAGCGCAGCGACGCGUCCACCACGGAGGCGGCCACCACAUGGAAAUACAUUCCCGAGUUCUGGGCGCCCGACCUCAUCGUCAUUUCGACCUGCGAAGUGAUGGACCUCGAGGACCUGGGGACCGCGGAGAGAAAGGCGUCGUCGGAGUGCGUUGUGGGGAACGUCACCGUCAACGCCACGGAGUUCACCCAAGGAAACCUCGACCCCUUCAAGGAGUACCAAGUCAACGUCAGCGCAACACUCACCAGCAUCGGGUACAUGGGUCCUUCUACUGCCGCCUUCGUCAGAACUCAUCCUGAAGAGCCUGUGAUGGUCAAGAUCCUUCCCUCGGGUCAUCUGCGGGUCGUGUGGGCGCAGAAGGUCGCGGAGUUCGCUGAGGACGACAACGUGGUGAUGAAGGUGACCGACGGCGACGGCGAGGAGAGGCAGCAGACGAUCCAGGCGAAGGGCGUGGUGCUCGACGGCCUCAAGCUGGGGGACACCUACAGCGUCAGUCUGGAGGAGCUCGGCGGACGCAGGAGGAAGGAGGCGGUGUCCGUGCAGGCUUACCCCCAGUGUGAGUGCGGCGAGGAGUGCCACCUCCGCGGCUGGUGCUACGAGUCGUCGUCCGCGAAGGUCAACGCCAUCAGGGCGAUCGGGGAGUGCCAGGACGAGGAGAAGAGCCUCGCCACGGUGACCAGCUCAGAGCAGGUCGACCUCCUCCUCAAGAUAGCUGACAAGAUCGGGGACGACGUCUGGGUGUCUGAGAAGUCGGAGAGACUCUCGGCCUCCCGAGACACUCUCAGGCUCUUAGCAGACGGCGACGCGGAAAUCCUCGACGACGAAUCUGCUGCCGAAGAGAUGACCACCGCCCUCCCGAUGCCCUCGCAGUGCCUCGUCGUCUCGCGGGCGGAGAGGAAGGUCGUCGACGAGCCGUGCACCAACAUCCACACCGCUGCCUGUGGGCGCAAGGUUCCAGUGGCCAAGGCGUUCCCGCCGACGAGCAGCAUGAAGAUCGACGUGGGCGCGAGCUGGAUCUCCCUGGACUGGAGCAACACGGACUGGGUCUGGAAAGCCACGUACACUGUCUACUACCAGAGGACGCGAGAGCGGCGAUACAAGCGGGCUCUCAAAUCUAUGGACUUUGAGGCACCUCCAGUUCUGAUCAGUGACCUGCAGAGGGACACGUCCUACACCCUGGAGCUGGUGGCGGAUCUCGAUAACGGCUUCCUCUCCUCGUCCAACGAGUUCGAAGCCUCGACGGCCAACACCACCGACGCGGCGUAUCCAGAUAGGCUGAAAGUGGGCUGGGCUCCAUCUUGGGACUAUCAAAUUCUGCAGCUCGUAUGCGCGGCCAUCUUGGUUGCAUCUUGCAUUACUACAAUGCUUCUCUUCUUCGCCACGGGCAUGUUCUACCAGGACUGCGUGGCUCAGCUUGGGUUCCUGGCAACCAUAAUGGCUGCUUAUUUCAACCUCAUGCUCGCCCACCCCACCACAGUCAAUACGGAGAAUGAAACUGGCUGUAUCACCGUGGCCAUCAUCUUGCACUUCCUGUUCACGUGUGCCUUCAUGUUCCUGAUGCUCGAGGCGCUGACCAUCGCUCACCUUCUCGUCGUCCAGAUCAAGAGUCCGUUCCAGAACUCCAAUUGGCUGAUGAUGAUCGCGGGAGUCCUUGUGCCUGCGGUUAUCGUCGGUAUUUCGGCGGGUUUUGCUUAUUCCGAGUAUCCGGAUUUCACUAAACAUAAUUGUUGGCUCAACCCCGAGGGCUCUGCCAUGUGGGCUGAGGCAGUUCCCAUUGUGAUCCUACUGCUGGCUACGGUGUUCCUGCUCUUGAACACCCUGAGGAGCCAAGAGACUCCUCCAGCACUCAUCGAGGUCGACCUUCGCGGCAGACAAAGCGACUCUCACAAGCUGCGUUGGGUGAUCCUGGCCUUGGCGUUGGAACUGGGCGUUGUCUGGAUCACCGGCACAACCGCUUACCAGUACCAUGACUCCAGCUUACACGUCGCCUUCUGUGCCUUCACGCUCAUCCUCGCUUUCACGAUAGUAGGCUGUCGAACCACGUUUGAUGACACGUUCCGCACCAAGAUGCACCGGCUGUGCUGUGGCACCGAGCUCACUUACAAGCGCAGCGAAAUCCUCACCCUCAGCGGGAGGUCGCGUGUCGGGCCGUCACCUGUGCAAUUGAUGAACACGUCUGCAACCUCGAAGAUAUUUGUCAAUGGUCGAUUCCCCUACGACUCUCACAGCGCUGGGACUGCCUUUAGGUGGUCUGUAGUACAUCAGUAGGAUUAGGUCCGAGCGGUUUUCCCCAAAUGCCUCUGCAGGCCAGAGACUAAUAGCCCCGUUCGCUCAACUCGCUCAGCCGGUCCAGUCCCCUCAGCUGGCUCGGUCGCUUCAUCCCGUUUCUCAGCCACCGAGGAGAGGACUAGCCAAGUGACUACAUCUGGUUACUCGCUCCCC
rnacentral:misc_RNA from 1 species